CCUUGGCGAUCAGACUUGGACCAAGUCGCGGUGGUUCUGCCCGCUCGGAACCAAUUUGUGGCGGAGAAAGGGGAGAUUGGCGCCGAGAGUUGCCGCCGCAAAGGAUAGGUAGGGUCGCGCCGCCGCCGAGGAGGACCCGCAGGGUCGCGCUGCCGCCGCCCCAGUGAAGCGCUCCGCCUCGCCGCGGCGGUAAUCAGCGCCGCCGAGCCCCCGCGGGAACCAGCUCCGCCGAGUCGCCGGGGAACUAGAAGAGCGUCGCUGUGCGCCGGGUAGCAGCAACUUGCCGCCGCGGUCCACGGAGGAGCGCCACCCUGACCACCACGUCCGGUUUCCCAGAAUUAAGUGUUGUGCAAUGGCAGAAAUUGGAAAGAGGACACCCAAAGUUGGUAUGAGGUUCAGAGAAUCGGAAGAGGCUUGGGAGUUUUGGGUAGAUUAUGGGGGGUCACAUCGGCUUUGAUGUGAGGAAAAGAUCCACAAUCAAAAGCAGAUGUGAUGGUGUGAUUACUUCACGCUGGUUUGUUUGUUCCAAUGAAGGCCAUCGAAGGAAAAACUCCUAUGUUGGUGGAAGCAAGCGAAGUAUACACUCCGAUUAUUUUUGAGGCUUUCCAAGGUGAGUAUGAAAGAUCAACGGCUGCAUGUUGUAGAGUAUUGGAUGGAAAUAACAGAUUUGUUGUUGCUAUUGCGAGGUUGCAUGGAGAUUUACAGUUUGAGGAGGAGCGCAUAGUGGUAGGUGAUCCUUUGACCAAAACGGUUUCAUGUAGUUGUGGGAUGUUCAAUAGAACAGGAAUCUUGUGUGCACAUGGUCUAAAAGUGCUUGAUUUGAUGAACAUAAAGACAUUGCCGGCACAUUAUGUCUUGAAGAGGUGGACUAGAGAAGCUCGCAAUGGAAGUAUUCAAGAUAGACAAGGAAGGAAUGUGGUAGAAAAUCCAAAAAUGGAAGCUGAACUUCGAUACAAGGAUUUGUCUCAUAAAUUUCACAAAAUGGCACAAAAAGCAGCCAACUCUCCACAAUGUUGUAUUCUAUUGGAUAAUGCACUUGAUUCCGCCGCUCCGCAUAUACAUGAUUUACUCAAUGCAUCCACUAGUGCCAUGAAUGAACUAUGUAAAGACAAAGAGAAUGUUGACCCAAAUGUGCAGUAAGUAGAUGAGUUGCUUAGAUCUGCACGGCUGAACAAAAAAGAGGUUCAGUCAAAGAACUUAAGGAGAAAGAAAAAUUGGCUUGACAAGUUACUCAAGGGGAAGCACAGAGUAACUAAAGGACCAACAAAACAGGGAGAAAAGCCACAAAGGAAGAAGGAUGACAACAAAAGAAAAAAGAUGGUGUGCAGCCUCAAGUAGAAGUGGAGAAGUAUGACAACAACAAAGAAGUAAAUUUGGUGCUUCAAGAGUGCAAUAAUAUUAUGAGUUUCACCCAACUCUUGACGGCUGACCAUGAUAAUCUGUUCUAGCAUGGAAGCUCCUUAGAUAAUAUUUUGUACAUGGUGGUGAUGAUGAUGAUUAUCUGUUCUAGCAUGGAACUUGUUAGAUACAGUAGUAUUUUGGACAUGGUUAACUAUAGUAGUAUGGGGUUAACUAUAUUAUUUUGUAGCCUAAGUGUACAAGCAAGUGGUACUGAAUUUGAAUGUAUUGACCUUUUGAAUUACAAGCAAGUGGCACUGAAUUUCAAUCAA